rnacentral:rRNA from 1 species
AUACGUAGGGGGCGAGCGUUGUCCGAAGUUACUGGGCGUAAAGCGCGCGUAGGCGGGGAAUUAAGUGAGAAGUGAAAGGCUGGGGCUCGACUCCAUGCAGUGCUUCUCAUACUGGUUCUCUUGAGGGCGGUAGGGAGAAGUGGAAUGGCUGGUGUAGCGGUGAAAUGCGUAGAUAUCAGUCGGAACACCGGUGGCGAAGGCGGCUUCUUGGGCCGUUCCUGACGCUGAGGCGCGAAAGCCAGGGGAGCGAACGGGAUUAGAUACCCCGGUAGUCCUGGCCGUAAACGAUGGAUACUAGGUGUUGGGGGUAUCGACCCCCCCAGUGCCGAAGCUAACGCGAUAAGUAUCCCGCCUGGGGAGUACGGCCGCAAGGUUGA